GCCCGUCUAGCUCAGUUGGUAGAGCGUAAGGCUCUUAACCUUGUGGUCCUGGGUUCGAGCCCCAGGGUGGGCG
rnacentral:tRNA from 1 species